AGUACGGUAGUUACUAGUGUUGAUCAAAUGAAUAAUGGUGUUUGAUACUGUGUAGUAGUUGGGGGUUUUAUAUUAAUAAUUGUAGUAAUAAAGUUAAUUGCGCCUAAGAUGGAGGAUACACCUGCAAGGUGGAGUGAAAGAUGGCGAGGUCUACAGAAGCACCGGCAUGGGCCAGGUUUCCAGCAAGAGGGGGGUAAACAGUUCAACCAGUACCAGCACCACUUUCGACAAUAGAGGAAGCUAAGAGUAGAAGAAAUGAUGGUGGGAGGAGUCAAAAGCUUAUGUUAUUUAUUCGGGGGAAGGCUAUAUCUGGGGCUCCAAUUAUUAGGGGAAUUAGUCAGUUACCGAAGCCUCCAAUUAUAAUAGGUAUUACUAUAAAGAAAAUUAUAACAAAGGCAUGGGCAGUAACAAUAAAGUUAUAGAUUUGGUCAUUUCCGAGGAGUGA